AUUGAACGCUGGCGGCAGGCCUAACACAUGCAAGUCGAGCGGUAGAGAGAAGCUUGCUUCUCUUGAGAGCGGCGGACGGGUGAGUAAUGCCUAGGAAUCUGCCUGAUAGUGGGGGAUAACGUCCGGAAACGGACGCUAAUACCGCAUACGUCCUACGGGAGAAAGUGGGGGCUCUUCGGACCUCACGCUAUCAGAUGAGCCUAGGUCGGAUUAGCUAGUUGGUGGGGUAGAGGCUCACCAAGGCGACGAUCCGUAACUGGUCUGAGAGGAUGAUCAGUCACACUGGAACUGAGACGCGGUCCAGACUCCUACGGGAGGCAGCAGAGGGAAUAUUGGACAAUGGGCGAAAGCCUGAUCCAGCCAUGCCGCGUGUGUGAAGAAGGUCUUCGGAUUGUAAAGCACUUUAAGUUGGGAGGAAGGGUCGUUACCUAAUACGUGGCGAUUUUGACGUUACCGACAGAAUAAGCACCGGCUAACUCUGUGCCAGCCGCCGCCGUAAUAC
rnacentral:rRNA from 1 species